ensembl:lncRNA
CUCGGACCGACGUGAGACGCUGCUGGCUAAAGAGAAUAUGGACACAAUUGAUGGGAAGUUUACAGUUCAAAGUCUGUGGCUAUAAAAAGGAGAACGGAAAACAAACAGGGAGGGAAGUCCACUGAGGCUCCCAACAUGCAUUUCAGGUUUAGAGAUGUCUAUCUCCACUUCUGCACAAUGCAGAAGAAAGAGUCCCCAAGGACCAAGGAGACGGGGAAACCUGCUUGCAUUUCAUUUUCCGUGAAACGAGAGAGAGAGAGAGAGAGAGCGACAGCGAUUCGUGAUGGAAGCAGCCGACCACAUGCGUGUUGGUGCUCAGACGGGCUGAUGUCAGCACUGAGCCUCGAUAAAGAUUUGGGACGGACGGCCUUUUGUUUCUGCAAAAGAAAAACUGCCGGCUGGAGCCGUGAAUGGCAGCACUAAUCCUGCCUCUCGCACUCUGAGCCCACGUGCACGAGGCGAGAGGGGGGGGG